GCCGGAGUGGCGGAAUUGGUAGACGCAGGGGACUUAAAAUCCCCUUCCCUCAGGGGAGUACGGGUUCAAGUCCCGUCUCCGGUA
rnacentral:tRNA from 1 species